rnacentral:rRNA from 1 species
GACGUAGGGCGCGAGCGUUGUCCGGAUUUAUUGGGCGUAAAGAGCUCGUAGGCGGCUUGUUGCGUCAGCUGUGAAAACCCGCAGCUCAACUGUGGGCUUGCAGCUGAUACGGGCAGGCUUGAGUUCGGUAGGGGAGACUGGAAUUCCCGGUGUAGCGGUGAAAUGCGCAGAUAUCAGGAGGAACACCGGUGGCGAAGGCGGGUCUCUGGGCGAUACUGACGCUGAGGAGCGAAAGCGUGGGGAGCGAACAGG